CCUACGGGAGGCAGCAGUGAGGAAUAUUGGUCAAUGGGCGGAAGCCUGAACCAGCCAAGUCGCGUGAGGGAUUAAGGCCCUGCGGGUCGUAAACCUCUUUUGCCGGGGAGCAGUGGUCCGGACGUGUCCGGGCCGGGAGAGUACCCGGAGAAAAAGCAUCGGCAAACUCCGUGCCAGCAGCCGCGGUAAUACGGGGGAUGCGAGGGUUAUCCGGUUUUAUUGGGUUUAAAGGGUGCGUAGGCGGGCAUUUAAGCCGGCGGUCAAAUGUCGGGGCUCAACCCCGGCCUGCCGUCGGAACUGGGUGCCUUGAGUAGGCGAGAGGUAGGCGGAAUGCGUGGUGUAGCGGUGAAAUGCAUAGAUAUCACGCAGAACCCCGAUUGCGAAGGCAGCAUACCGGCGCCCUACUGACGCUGAGGCACGAAAGUGCGGGUAUCGAACAGGAUUAGAUACCCUUGUAGUC
rnacentral:rRNA from 1 species